rnacentral:lncRNA from 1 species
CGCGUUGGUAGUGUUGGGGAUACAUCGAAAUUCUAUAGAUACUAGAUAUAUCGUAUCGGAGUAUUGGCGUAUCGUCGAUAUAUCGGUGUAUCGGAUCGUAGAUGGUUAGAAUUGUGCGUUUGGAUUGUUGCAAUUGAAAUACCCGUUUAGCUCAAUGGUACGGUCUAGCGCUUCUGAGCUAUGUGAUUCUGUCAUUCUGAGUUCAGUGUUCCAGUCUCGCAUCAGAAUGCAUACAAAUACUAAAUUUUCUUAUGAUAAAGUAAUUGAAUAAUACAAUAGAGUUCCUCUUCACAGAAACACGAAUCUUCGAUCUAAUUGUUUUCUGAAAUAUCGGUAUUGAUUAGACAAUUUUCAGUGGUUUUAUAUUCUAUAACAAGGUAUAACACAGUCGGUUUGGGUGGUUGGUAUAAUCUGUGACUGCGAAUUGUAACAUUGAAAAUAGUAGGUUCUAUUCACAGGAAGUGAUUUUUACUUAUGUUUUUUUUUUAUUUCUCUUUUUUUUUGUAUCGGAAUGUAUCGAUAAAUCUGAAUUCAUGUCUUUCGUAGUUAACCACCAGUUUUUUGUAGGGGAUGGCUCAGUGGUACAGUAGUGCACAGCGAACUGGUAGUCUGAUGUUCGAUUCCAUAAACAUGCUCAUUUUGAGAUGUCAGUAGGAAUCAUAAGCAAAAUCUUUUUUGAAAUAAAUAUUUUAAUUUAAAAAUAUAUUUCGAAUCAUCGGUAUCGGUAUUUUUCAUGAAAUAUUGAUCUGCCUUAUUGCAAUUUAUGUAUCGUUUUCCUGGCUAGUUGGUAUAAUCUUAGACUGUGGUUGCAUAUACCCGGAGUUCAAAUCCGAGAAAAUUAGAUUUGAUAUUUUUGCUUUCUGAAUUUUGUUUUUGUUUUCCAUAUCAGAAUUAUCGACAAACCUAAAAUUGUGUAUUUUUUAGAUUGUAAAACAAAUUUAGCUUGGGUGGUUGGUAUAAUCUGUGACUGCGAAUUGUAACGUUGAAAGUAGUAGGUUCUAUUCACAGGAAGUGAUUUUUACUUAUGUUUUUUUUUAUUUCUCUUUUUUUGUAUCGGAAUGUAUCGAUAAAUCUGAAUUCAUGUCUUUCGUAGUUUACCACUAGUUUUUUUGUAGGGAAUGGCUCAGUGGUACAGAAGUGCACAGCGAAAACUGGUAGUCUGAUGUUCGAUUCCAUAAACAUGCUCAUUUUGAGAUGUCAGUAGGAAUCAUAAGCAAAAUCUUUUUUGAAAUAAAUAUUGCAAUUGAAAAAUAUAUUUCGAAUCAUCGGUAUCGGUAUUCUUCAUGAAAUUUUCAUCUGCCUUAUUGUAAAUUAUUUAUCGUUAUUAUGGUUAGUUGGUAUAAUCUUGGCCUGUGGGUGCAUAUUCCCGUAGUUCGAAUCCGGAAAUAUACAUUUUGGUUUUUUUGCUUUCUGAAUUUUUUUUUGUUUUCCGUAUCGGAAUUAUCGACAAACCUAAUACCAUAUCUUUUUUAGUUUGUAAAAUUAAUUUUAGUAAAAAUGGCAUAUCUGUUUGUAAGCGGGGAGUGGAUUUGUGGUCCGGGGCUCUAUUCUUGAAGAGAAUACUAAUACUACUAAAUAUAUACUAAUACUAAAUAAAAGCAAUGAAAACAUCUAUUAAUAAAUUUGCGAAUGUCAUAAUUAAAUAAUGUUUUGAAGUUUCGAAGAUAAAUUUUUAAAAUUGAAACAGAACUGUUUAUUAAUAUUAUGUGUUGUUUUGCAAAAGUUAAAUAGAAAUUCUGGAGCAUUGGUUCGAUCUGCGACUGGAAACAUGUACAUUAAGGGUUCAAAUCCGAAGAUGGAUUUUGUUUUUGAUUUUCUUUGUUUUCAAUAUUUUCCAUUUGCUCCUCGUAUCGAUACGUAUCGAUAUAUUGAACUUCAUCUCGUCCUAACUUCCCACUGAAUGAACAUGUAGUGGUGGCAAAAUGGUAUGGUGCCGGAUAGUGACACGGUAGUUGAUGGUUCAAAUCCCAAGAUUUUCGAGGAAAUGGACAUGUAAUAUUUCUGCUAGGUUGUUUUGUUAAAGAUAUCUGUACUGGAGGAUGAAGAGGAGGAUUCGUCAUAAAUCGGCAAUAAAAGUGUAUCUAUUAUACUAUAUAUUAUAUUGCCGCUUAUCGAGUUUUUAUUUCCACCGCUAGAUGGCGCUGAUCCGAUAUUCAGAUACAUCGGAAUCGGAUCGUAUCGAUAUCGAAUAUCUAAAAUUAUAGAUACAUCGCUGUAUCGGUAUCGGUAUCCCCAACACUACGCGUUGGCUGAGAUUAAAUUGGUCAAUGGCGGCAUGGCGGCAUGGCGGCGACGCGCAUUGGAACUUGGAAGUGGAUUCAUCAUGCAUGUGCGACAUGAUGUGGCGUUGCAUGUGGGAGCCCUGGGAGGCCCCGUUGACUGGUCUUUGAUGAUACGUGUGCACAGUGGUAGUGCUUGGGUUCCUCAAGAGGGAAUCGCAGAACAUAGCCAUAGAGCUAAACAGUAGUAUGUCCUUCAACAAUCUGUUGCGUCCAACCAUGGGAUGAGUCACAUGCAAGCCUAAGUCAACCAAACAGGGCAUCAAUAAUUGGUCAGCAAUGAAAUUAGUCAAUUGGAAGGAUUCCUUUUUUUCACAGAACUUUACCAUUUUCAUGGUAUACUUAAUUGCUUUUCGGUGGAUUGUCACUUGGCAUCAUUUGAAUGUGUUUGCAUUUCUUCAGGUAUGAUCCAUAUCAGCAGUGUUAUGAUGCACUUCUUAAAUACACCAAUCCAUGGAAAUAUUCUAAUUGAAAUUAUGGAAAUUUCUGCCCUUCUUGCAGAACUGCACAAUGAUGGGUUUGUAUAAACAAGCUUGAAAUAACAAACCAACAGUAUUUUUGGUUUGUCUCCCACAUACAACUCUAUGACAUGUUGAUGUUAGCUAAAUUGUUAUUAAUCCUAGGACUAGGUAGUACGAAUUGAAAUAUCUUCUCUCGGAAGUUUGGGUCUGAAUUUGUUUGAGAUGCCUCUUGAGGCAGGAAGCUUUUUCCUGCUUCUUACAAAAAGGGACAUUGGAUGCCUUGAUGUCUAAUACCAACCAAGUGUCAUUGCAAAGAUAGGUAAAAAAUAUAUCAAUAUAGAUUAUACUCUGAGUGAUGGUGACAUGGUAAUAAGAGAGCAGUAUAAAUAUUUGCUCCAUCGUUUAGUUCUAUUAUUUUAUCUUCAAGGUAUCUUAUUGACUUCUAUUGGUUUUAUUUGUGGAAAGAAUAUCUUGAGCGGGAGAAUUGGUUGGUGGACUAAAUGUUUUACUAUUUUAAAUGAGUUUAUCAUUAAGAAUUUUUUACUCAUUCAUGUUCUGUUUCUGUAAGUAGGUAGAACAAUCGCAAUGUCGUGGUAGUAAUUCGCGAGAGAUAUGCCAAUAGGGUUUCACUGUUUUCAAUUUGCAAUCGUAAUGGAUUCGAAGGGGAUAUUGAUGGCGUUUUGGUAUAAAAAAGCAUAAGUACAUGUUCGUUGGAAGGGCAACCGAAGAGUUCUAGAUCCUUUUACUAUCGCACAUGUCAUGGUAUUUUUACAAAAUCAUUGAAGUGCUUAUCUGGACCUUCUUGUUUUCUGUGGCCCCGUUUCCCCUUGACUUAUAUUAUUUUCUUUAACCCUUUAGUGCGUGUAAAACUAAAGGCUAAAAGAAGAAGAAUGAUUCAAAAAUUGUGUGAGAGAAUCAUCAAAGAAUUAUACUCGUUUAGGUAAUCCAAGGAAAUAAGAAAGAUUAUUAUCUCGG